rnacentral:rRNA from 1 species
AACGAACGCUGGCGGCAUGCCUAACACAUGCAAGUCGAACGAGACCUUCGGGUCUAGUGGCGCACGGGUGCGUAACGCGUGGGAACCUGCCCUUAGGUUCGGAAUAACUCACCGAAAGGGGUGCUAAUACCGGUUACUGUCUUCGGACCAAAGAUUUCUCGCCUUUGGAUGGGCCCGCGUUGGAUUAGCUAGUUGGUAGGGUAAAAGCCUACCAAGGCGACGAUCCAUAGCUGGUCUGAGAGGAUGAUCAGCCACACUGGGACUGAGACACGGCCCAGACUCCUACGGGAGGCAGCAGUGGGGAAUAUUGUACAAUGGGCGAAAGCCUGAUCCAGCAAUGCCGCGUGAGUGAGGAAGGCCUUAGGGUUGUAAAGCUCUUUUACCCGGGACGAUAAUGACAGUACCGGGAGAAGAAGCUCCGGCUAACUCCGUG